rnacentral:rRNA from 1 species
CUACGGGGGGCACCAGUGAGGAAUAUUGCACAAUGGGGGGAACCCUGAUGCAGCAACGCCGCGUGGAGGAUGACGCAUUUCGGUGUGUAAACUCCUUUUAUAUGUCAAGAAAAUGACGGUAGCAUAUGAAUAAGCACCGGCUAACUCAGUGCCAGCAGCCGCGGCAAUACGGAGGGUGCAAGCGUUACUCGGAAUCACUGGGCGUAAAGGACGCGUAGGCGGGUUGGAAAGUCAGGUGUGAAAUCCUACAGCUUAACUGUAGAACUGCACUUGAAACUUCUAAUCUAGAGUAUGGGAGGGGGAGAUGGAAUUAGUGGUGUAGGGGUAAAAUCCGUAGAUAUCACUAGGAAUACCUAAAGCGAAGGCGAUCUCCUGGGACAUUACUGACGCUAAGGCGUGAAAGCGUGGGGAGCAAACAGGAUUAGAUACCCCAGUAGUC